AACGAACGCUGGCGGCGUGCUUAACACAUGCAAGUCGAACGGAAAGGCCCUGCUUUUGUGGGGUGCUCGAGUGGAGAACGGGUGAGUAACACGUGAGUAACCUGCACUUGACUUUGGGAUAACUUCAGGAAACUGGGGCUAAUACCGGAUAGGAGCUCCUGCUGCAUGGUGGGGGUUGGAAGGUUUCGGCGGUUGGGGAUGGACUCGCGGCUUAUCAGCUUGUUGGUGUGGUAGUGGCUUACCAAGGCUUUGACGGGUAGCCGGCCUGAGAGGGUGACCGGCCACAUUGGGCCUGAGAUACGGCCCAGACCCCUACGGUGGGCAGCAGUGGGGAAUAUUGCACAAUGGGCGGAAGCCUGAUGCAGCAACGCCGCGUGCGGGAUGACGGCCUUCGGGUUGUAAACCGCUUUCGCCUGUGACGAAGCGUGAGUGACGGUAAUGGGUAAAUAAGCACCGGCUAACUACGUG
rnacentral:rRNA from 1 species